GACGAACGCUGGCGGCGUGCUUAACACAUGCAAGUCGAACGGAAAGGCCCUGCUUUUGUGGGGUGCUCGAGUGGCGAACGGGUGAGUAACACGUGAGUAACCUGCCCUUGACUUUGGGAUAACUUCAGGAAACUGGGGCUAAUACCGGAUAGGAGCUCCUGCUGCAUGGUGGGGGUUGGAAAGUUUCGGCGGUUGGGGAUGGACUCGCGGCUUAUCAGCUUGUUGGUGGGGUAGUGGCUUACCAAGGCUUUGCCGGGUAGCCGGCCUGAGAGGGGGACCGGCCACAUUGGGACUGAGAUACGGCCCAGACUCCUACGGGAGGCAGCAGUGGGGAAUAUUGCACAAUGGGCGGAAGCCUGAUGCAGCAACGCCGCGUGCGGGAUGACGGCCUUCGGGUUGUAAACCGCUUUCGCCUGUGACGAAGCGUGAGUGACGGUAAUGGGUAAAGAAGCACCGGCUAACUACGUG
rnacentral:rRNA from 1 species